rnacentral:lncRNA from 1 species
AACCCAAUUUUAUAGGAAUUAAAACAAAAAAACAAAAAUAUAAAAAAUAUAAAAAAUAUAACUUAAUUCAUCUUUUGAUCCUUUAACAUAAUUUAAGUUUUCACUUUGAUCCCUUGUUUAAUAAACAUUAUAUUUUAGUCCCUCAAAAACUAUUUUGUGAGACAAUAUUAUUGAGGGCCUACCAUAACCUUUAUUAAUUAUUUUUAAAAUUUUAAUCAUUAGAUCUUUUUAAUAAAUAUCACAAGAUUAGAAAUUGAUAGUCUACUAAAUGUAACAAUAAACUAUUAACACAUAAUAAUUUUGAUAUAACUUCAUCUUCUUCCCUAUUCUCCUUCAUCAUCUUCAUCUUCUUCUUUCUUU